UCAAGCGUACUACAUGUCCCAAGAUCCCUGCCUAUACUCCGCCUUCACCUGGCUGCGAGGCUUACCUGACGUAGGGCAUUCGUCUUUUUAAAUGAAUGACCCCGCGAAAGCUCACCUGUGCUGUCUUGCUGGGAGAAUUGUUUGGUGUCGGCGUUUGGUGUCUGCUUUUUCGUUGCUGUCCCUCCGAACUCAUCCUUUGUGUCGUUUCAGUCAACGCGUCUUUGCUCAACCGUGUGUUUUUGCAACUAGCGAGUGCGGUUGUGCCGGUAGCGCGACUCAUCUCUGUAGCCUACGGCCUGGCUGUCUUACUGUGGUGAUCCUAAGUUCCCGAACCUGGAGGUGUGCCGUUUCUCCGCACCCUCGAACGUCACCAUAAAGCGGUCAAUCACUGUUUUCCCCUGGCCACUUUGUAACAGUGCACCCAAAGGUUGUUAUUUUGUUUUGUGUAAAAUUGUAUGUUUUGUUUGGGUUUUCUUUGUGUAGCUCUACUGUAUAGUUGUCCUGCUCUUUGUGUUGCGGGCUGAGUCACCUGUCCGUGAUAUCCAGACCUGACCUCUUCAAUUAUCCCCCUCCCCCUGCAUUAGCCUAUUCACAGUGUGUGUGUGUGCAUACAUCAGCUUGCCCAUUUUGGGGUGUAUUACACUAGUUAUAGUAUCAAGAAGUUACUGGGUUCAUUGGGUGCCCAUUUUGGGGUGUAUCACCAUUGUGAGUAGAAAAGUAGUUUUUCCCAUUUAAACGCUUAUGGAAUAGUUUCUUCUAGUGUGUGUGAAUUGCUUUGCAGUCCAAUAGACCCCUCUCCCCUGUGUUCAGUCUGGGUACUACGCCUUAUGCCUCCACUUCGUUGUGGUUGGCCUGAUACCCGCAUCCGCCCCUCAGCAGUGGCUAUAGUAGAGAGCUGCCCCGUUUUGUUUUGUUUCCCUUGCCUGCCACUAGGGUGGGAAAUGAAUUUUUUUCUUAUUUUCUUUACAACGUUUGAAUGUCUGUGUGGAGUGCCUGUUACUGUCUAAUUAUUGUGAGAAAAUCAACCCCCAGAACCUUGAAAAUAAUAGUGGUUGCAAAUAAAAUCUAUUUUUGUAUUUUGGUAAAUCAGCCUCUGUCUAGUCAUUCAGUUGUCUACCC